rnacentral:misc_RNA from 1 species
GAUGAAUCAAUCUGUCUGUACUAUACAAACAGUGACACGAACUGGUAGCCUUUUGGUCGUGUGUUUGUGUAACAGAAUGUGAUUGUCCGUCUGUCUGUGUCAACUGCUUUAACAAUCCAUCUAUUGCCUUUGCUGUUUAUGAGGAAUUAUGGUUACAGUUCAUGAGGACAUUAUCAGACUGUCGAGUUUGAUUCAUCCUCCAUACCUUGAUUUAUUGAGUGAGAGUGAAUCAGACAGUUUGUGUCCAUGUAAUCGUCCAUGUUUGGGAUUUCGUCAUCAGCAAAUUUAACUGUUGUAAUAUGAGACACUUCAUAAUCAUGUUAACCAUACGUGUAUAUCAGUUAUUAUUCUCACGACAAUAAAAAAAAUGUUUGC